GGAGCCUGCAGCUACACUGCUCUGUGGCCCUACCUGAUGCCCUGCAUUUGAGUGGGGGGGCUAAGCCCCAUUACCCCCAGCCUUCUGCCACCUAUGCCCCCCUGCCUGCACCCCCAGGACUAAGAAAGCAAUCAGCCCAGGAUGUCUCAGCUUUUUUGUACCUUGAGCCAUGUUCAACAAAAGCGAGAACAGGAGAAGGAGGUGCAUUCUUUGAAGUGAUGUGCAGGAGGCUCCAUUCAGCAGCAGACAUGUUUGCAACUUCUUCUGAAGGCUGCUGUAUUGUUACCGUUUUCUUCGGAGAGCUGAACUGGUUGAUAGUUAAGUCCUGUCCAGGUGACAGCUCAGAAUGUGCUGAGAAGCUCCAUGGGAAUGCAAGUCUGAACAGCCCGCCAGUCUCAGGAGUAUCACCUCCUUUCCUCAAGUGAGCCAAAGCCCAGCAGUUUCUCAAUAUCAACAAGUGUCAGACAAAACUGGUUACUGAACGUACUGCGCUCCUUCACUUCAGCCCCUCUGGGGCAGUCAAUUUGUUACAUGUAGAGUCUUGUGGUGGAAAGAAGAGAGAAACAGCAGAGCUCCCAGACUGACAAGGUUUGCGGUUUUGUUUAAGAUGCUGAAUCAGAGUUUCACCUGGAGGGGAGGUAGUAGAGGAUGGAUCAUAGUUGGCAGGUGUCUGCAGAAAUACACACACUCCUAUAUCCAUGGGGCUGGCAGGCAGCACCACUUGGCUGGUUUGGUUGCUUCUGCUGCUACAAGGGUGGUUAACAUCAUUUUCAGACACAGACAUGCUGGUUCUUGCCGAGUGGCCUAAAAGAGAAGACUCCUUUGAAAAACACAGUGGCAGUUUGAAAGAAUAAUGAAAUUUAGUAUCCACCCAGGCUGCUAAAAGAGACUGAAUUACUAACAGCUUUGCAAUUCUGUCCUGCAAGACUCUUUUCUUCACCCCUGAGAGCUUUUUAGCAUUGAUCACCUUAAGAGGAGCUUUUACAACAAGGACUUGAUCACCUAUUGAUAGUCCCAAUUAGUUUAUAUGCUUCCUCCUGUUUUCUUUACAUGCCCAGAAUUAAAUGUUUCGACAUUGUACAUAAAUUAAAUUGCACAGAAGGAAAAACAAGAGCUUUAAAAAAAGGGUUACCCGAGUAUAUGGUUUAGUGUCACAUCAGAGUUUGAUGGGACUUCCUGGUGCAGAAGCAUUUUAAAUAAGCAAGCAAAUUAAAACUGAGAAAACCUGAGACAAGCUUUUCACAGUGCACAUACUUCCACAGACUCAGCCAGAAAGAGGUCUGAUUCACCUGCAGAGGUGCUGUUUGCAGGCUGUGAAUGCCACAGUUUGGGUUUUGGUUUCACAAACACUUUCCAAGCAGAGGUUGAUAGUGUUGAUGUGAAUUAGCUGUUAGUGUGAUAUAAAGUAAACAUACAUAUAAGGCAACAUGUGUCCAAAACUAUACUUUAUCAGGAGGUCCCUAAAGCCUUUCUGCACUUGAAAUCAUUUGUAUUUUCACUGUGGAUGAGCAAUUCUACCAUUCACUACAGCACAGCUGCUACAUGUUUUGCUGAUGUCCAUGCAGAGAAAGCAUGUUGGUAGGCACAAACUCACAGCAUUUCUUGAACAAGCUAGUGUCACAUUCACGGAAAAAAAAAUAUUUAAUAUGUUGUCCAAAACGCAUGCAGGCCAGAUUCUCUGUCUGUGAAAACUGACAUACACACAGCUCUGUGGAAGUCAAUACCAUCCUCCUUCGAUAGCAGCAGAGUCAUAAUAACUGUCUCUUCCAGUGGUCCUCAACUGGGAGUUCUCACCCUCAGGUGUGCUGUGACACAUGCUGACACUGCAGCAACAGCCUGGUGAGACUGCCUUCUGUGCUCCUGUUCCAUCAGCCCUGUAAUGAGCCUAAAGCAGGCAGGAGCUGUGCUACUGUAGCCCUUCUGGUCAGCCCCUGCUGCACUCCUGGAAACAGAGGCGCAUGGGACAGUUCUAUUUCCCACCUCUGUUCUGAGAAGCGUGGCAGGGUAGGGCCUGGACUGGGAAGGGUGCACAGUAUGAGUUUGCUCCUGUCUGCUUUAGGCUGAUCACAACAUGAGUAUGUGCCAUAGCCCUUCCUGGGCUGGCUGUGCAACAGGUUCAGGGCAAUUUUAUCUGGAAGCAUCAGUAACUGGUUGAGAAUCAUUGGGGUAGGCUGAAGCAGCAUCAACCACGGUUCUCAACUGAUGUGCUGCUAUGUUCAAAAAAGUGUUGGAGGAGUGCCCCAACUCUGGAAAGGUUGAGACCCACUAGUCUGUACCCUAAGAUUUAUAGACCUGUACUAAAUUGCAUUUCCUUGUGAGGUCACUAGAUGGUAUGUAGCUGUGAUUUAUUGAGGAAGUUAAGCAGGUACAGCUUUUGCUAAAAGGAAGUGGAACAGAUGCAUAUUAACUCUGCUCUAGUAUUAGCAUUGCCUAAAGGUCAGAAUUAAGGUGCAUGAAGAGAGCUUACACAGCCCCUAACCACCAUAUUGUGUCACGUUUAAGCCAACGCUUUUCUGCCAUCAUUUGUACUUGCAGUAAACUUGACAAGGAAAAUAAACAGAGUUAAUUCAUU